AGCGAACGCUGGCGGCAGGCUUGACACAUGCAAGUCGAACGGGCACUUCGGUGCUAGUGGCAGACGGGUGAGUAACACGUGGGAACGUACCUUUCGGUUCGGAAUAAUUCAGGGAAACUUGGACUAAUACCGGAUACGCCCUUCGGGGGAAAGAUUUAUCGCCGAUAGAUCGGCCCGCGUCUGAUUAGCUAGUUGGUGAGGUAAUGGCUCACCAAGGCGACGAUCAGUAGCUGGUCUGAGAGGAUGAUCAGCCACAUUGGGACUGAGACACGGCCCAAACUCCUACGAGAGGCAGCAGUGGGGAAUAUUGGACAAUGGGCGCAAGCCUGAUCCAGCCAUGCCGCGUGAGUGAUGAAGGCCUUAGGGUUGUAAAGCUCUUUUGUCCGGGAAGAUAAUGACUGUACCGGAAGAAUAAGCCCCGGCUAACUUCGUGCCAGCCGCCGCAGUAAAAC
rnacentral:rRNA from 1 species